rnacentral:lncRNA from 1 species
GUGCUUUGAUAGGUGCUUAUUGCAUAUUUUUAUUCAUUGCAUUACAUGUUUAGAUGUUUUUGGUGUUUUGAAUAUUGUUUGUUUAAAAAUCUUUUUGAGGAAAGGUAUUUUGGAAUUCAAAAUUUUUGAGAAAGGAGGUGAUUGAGAAUCAUUAUUUUGAGGAGAGAAAUUUUUUAAAAUCGCUUAAACGGUGUUUAACUUCACCAUCAUAUUAAGUUAAAUUCAUAUUACUUAUCGUUUUUACUUCACUUUUUAUUAUUUUGACGAUAAUUUAAUAUAUGAUUUCUUAAUACAUAUAUUCAUCAAAAUUUUAAAAUCAAAUU